GGGAGACCUCUUCUUUCCUGACUUAAUAUCAAUGACAAUAGAAGCCCUAAGUGCCUAGCUUGGAUCUCUUACCAGAAAAGUCUGAAUUUCUCCCUUUAAGGUUCUUGGAGGCCAAGCUUGAGACCGCUUGAGUGGAGCAACCUGUUAAGUUUUGGUCCUUACCCUGAGCCCCAGGAGUACCCAGGCCAAGGACUUCUCCACUUUUAGAUUCUUAUUCUGAGUUAUCUACUGACCAAUUGAGGACAGAGAGCAGAAAAGAGAGAAGAUGCCUGAGAGUCCCCUUGUACUGAGAAGCUUAAAGAGAGGGGAAUGAUGAAGUCUCACGCUCUGAGGCAGUUGAGCCACCACUGAGCCACACCCCCAGGUACCAAGGUGUGGGGCAUCUCUGUUCCAAUGCUUGCCUCCCAUGUGCCAAGCCCCGAGUUCAAUCCGAGCGACUACAGAACAAAGCUGAAGUAGGACCUGGAGCCGGUAGUGUGGCUCACUUGGAAGAAUGCUUGCCCAGCGCCUCGUAAACCAGGCCCACACCUGUGGUCCCAGCACCUGGGAGAUGGAGAUGAGAUCAAGGUCAUUUUCAGCUACAGAUGAUUUUGAGUCCUGAUCCAGCAUGGGCUACCUGAGCUUCUGUGUCAAAGAGAAACAAAGAAACAAAAACUGAGGGCUCUCUUCACUCCUGGCCCCAGUGCUGGUGCUGGCUGAAGGUUCCAAGCGUCCCCACAUCUGUGUCCUCAUGGCACCUACCUGGCUCUGUGAGAUUCAAGCAUUUUUGCCAUUCAGAUGGGAAAGCAGGCACUGAGACAGAAAUGGUUUGGGGUGUCGCCCUCCCUCUAGCAGGUGGUGGAGUAGGGGGUGGGGCUCUUGACUCCCAUGACCUGCUGAGUCUUUGUUUCUGGUCUCUCCUCUCCCCAGUGAAUUUCUCAAACCUGCCAUUCUGCCUCCAGGAGAAUGUAAAAGUGUGGGUCUCACUGGUGACCUCAGAGGACCUGAGAAGGGGGAAGAGAAAGGGAGACAUAAACAGGGCUGUGAAGAGCAGGGCUUUUUCCAGACCUGACCCAGGGUGGGUCUUGUGCCUGCUGUGGUGGCUCUUGUACCCUCUGCUUAGCUUAUUUGGUGAAGGAUCAAUGCAUGUGACCAAACUCUCCAGGUGAGUAGUUCAUGGGACCCCUCAGGGACCUGGCUGAAGUAUUUUUACUGUCAUACCCAUUUCACAGGCAGGGUGGGCUUGCUUGAUGCCAGAAUAGACCCUUCUUAGUCCUGACCUCUAUAGAGGCACUUACCAGGUGUAGGUAGCCUCUGGGAUGCCCCCGACCCCUAGAGCUGGUUCAUGAGUAUGGUGUGUAUGGUGGACCCUCCACCCUGCUCUGGUGUAUCUCCUCAGCCUGAUUUCACAAGUGCCUGCCUUGUGACUGUCCCUCUAGGGACAACUGCAGCUCCUCCUGUACUUCUUUGCUGGGGUCUGCCUUCAGUUCCUAGUUUUCCAACCCUCUCUCCUUAAGGAGGAGGGGAUGAUCGUAUGAAGGGCACUCAUGAGCCAGGCUAUGCUCUGUAGCAGCGACAGUGACCUGACUGGCAGAUUUUCACUCUACAGACAUGUGUUUUCAUUUCAGCCACGUCUAAUGUAGGCCAGACCACUGUCCUCUAGGCCCCAAGAUCCUGCCGUCCAAGGUUUAGUUACAGACCAGCCCCCUUCCUCCCUGCCCCCGCCUCUGUGUGUGUGUGUGUGUGUGUGUGUGUGUGUGUGUGUGUGUGUAGAUGGUAGAGUCCGGAUGGUUUUCUCUUAAGAUUUAUUAUUUACUAUGUGUCUGUGUGAGUGAUUGCCAAAUGUGUUUAGGUGCCUGCAGAGGCCAGAAGAGGGUGUUGGAUCCCCUGAGGUUAUAGGUGUUUGAAUGCUUAGUUGGGUGCUAAGAACUGAACUUGGGUCUUCUGCAAGAGGAGCAAGGAAGUACCCUUUUCCUGAGCCACCUCUCCAGCUGUUUUUUGCCCAUUUGUUUAUAAAUAUAAUGGAUUUUAUUUUUGAGAAUUUUAUGCACAUAUACAAUGUAUUUUUUUUUACCAUAUUCACCCCCACUGGUCUCCCUAACCUCCCCCAUAUUUACCCCACUUCCAACUUUGUGUCUUCUAAAAAAUAAUAAAUCUAAGCCACUGAGUCCAGCUGCACUGUGCACACAUCUAUGGGUACAAUGCUGUCCACUACGGCGUGCUGGACCUCUCAGAAGCC
rnacentral:lncRNA from 1 species